GAUGAACGCUGGCGGCGUGCCUAAUACAUGCAAGUCGAGCGAACAGACGAGGAGCUUGCUCCUCUGACGUUAGCGGCGGACGGGUGAGUAACACGUGGAUAACCUACCUAUAAGACUGGGAUAACUUCGGGAAACCGGAGCUAAUACCGGAUAAUAUAUUGAACCGCAUGGUUCAAUAGUGAAAGACGGUUUUGCUGUUACUUAUAGAUGGAUCCGCGCCACAUUAGCUAGUUGGUAAGGUAACGGCUUACCAAGGCAACGAUGCGUAGCCGACCUGAGAGGGUGAUCGGCCACACUGGAACUGAGACACGGUCCAGACUCCUACGGGAGGCAGCAGUAGGGAAUCUUCCGCAAUGGGCGAAAGCUUGACGGAGCAACGCCGCGUGAGUGAUGAAGGUCUUCGGAUCGGAAAACUCUGUUAUUAGGAAAGAACAAAUGUGUAAGUAACUAUGCACGUCUUGACGGUACCUAAUCAGAAAGCCACGGCUAACUACGUG
rnacentral:rRNA from 1 species